rnacentral:rRNA from 1 species
UACGUAGGGUGCGAGCGUUGUCCGGAAUUAUUGGGCGUAAAGAGCUCGUAGGCGGUCCAUCGCGUCGGGAGUGAAAAGCUGGGGCUUAACCCCAGUCCUGCUUCCGAUACGGGUGGACUAGAGGUAGGUAGGGGAGAACGGAAUUCCUGGUGUAGCGGUGAAAUGCGCAGAUAUCAGGAGGAACACCGGUGGCGAAGGCGGUUCUCUGGGCCUUACCUGACGCUGAGGAGCGAAAGCAUGGGGAGCAAACAGG